rnacentral:lncRNA from 1 species
CAGCAACUUCAUUUCAAAGUUUGCAAAAUAGUCCGAAGGUAAUUAUAAUUAUCUUCUUACUGUGCAGUACACGCGUGAAUCAGUUCACACUCGUGCCUGUUACCUGAGCCUGUUAUUGGUCUGAAUCAGUAAUCGGCCUUAAACCCAUCCGGCCCAAGUUAUUUUUGGCUAAAGGUACACAUUCUUUUAUCUUUUUCAUGCAUUUUUUUUUUUGAUAUUUAGUCAAACAAAUUUCUUUUCUAUUUUAGAAAGUUCUAGAAAAAUUUGAGAAUCUCCGCUGAUUUAUUUAUGAGUCCUCACGCUUUGUUAUAUUUUUUUUUCUUGUUUAUUAUUUAUUUCUAUUGUAUACUCAAUCUACAAAAAACCAUUACUCUUCAUCGCAUGCAAUAUUUUUUUUUAUUUUUAUAUAAAACAAGUAAAUAAAAAAAAUUUAAACAAAAAGAGAAAGGCAUAAAAAAAAUUGUUUCUUCUCCAAUUAAAAAUUCAAAUCUUUAAACAAACUUAUCAGAGUCGGGAAUAUUAUUCUCUUUAAGUUUGUAAAAUAUUUAUCAACAUCAAAGUUCAAAAUAUUUAUAGUAAAAAUAUUCACUAAUAUUAGGGUCGGGAAUAUUAUAUAAAAAAAGCCAAAAUUCUAGUAAUUUUAAAAAAAACUAGUAAUGCAAUCACCUUAGAUAAAACUUUUAAGGAAUGAUAGCAUCUUUAUUUUUAUAUAAUUAAUCAUGUAUUAUAGAAUUUUUAUUGAUCGGUUAGGGUUAUUAAUGAUCAUAAUAAUAGGUAUGAUGACUUUUUAAAUAGAAUAUAUUUUUUUAAAAAAAGAUAUCAAAUAUUUAUUUUUUUUCUUUACAAAAUUUUAACAAUAUUAAUUGGAGAGUAAUUAGUUAAACAAUGCAAAUGCUAAGCAGAAGAGGCACAAACUGGAUGAAGCUGACGACAACAAGAGCCAGAUAAGACAGCAAUGGCAUACCAUUGUUAUAUACAUUCUUCUUUGGGUUUAUUUUAUGCAGAUACCACCAUCGGCCGGCACGUUCCUUUUGUGUACUUGUUGGACUGAAGCUUUCACUUUCCUUGCUACGUUUCUUGCAUUUGGAAGCUCUGACUGGCCUAGAACAGGACAAUAUCGCAAGAAAAAGACGUCAAUUAAAAUAUUAAUAUUAAAGAUAAAUUGCACUAAACUUUCUGAAUUACUGCAAAAUAAUAGAGAGAUAACUCAAGAAAUUUAAAAUUCGACAAAAACCGCUGCUCGUUGGAGAAAAUAUCACACAAUUCCUAUUUAAUUUAUAACCAAAAUCACCUUAAUUAAGGCUAUGAGCAUUUUAGGCACAUAAGAAAAUUUCUCGUCUCUGUAAUUUUAAGACACUAAAAUGAUUAUAUAUUAUUUUCUACGAAACCCUUUCAAAUAUAUUUUAUAAUUUUUAAAUUUACAUGAAGUCAUCAUUACUGUUUAAUUUCAUAAGAUUUUCAAAGUCCUAACCCACUUGAUUAUUAAUGUUUUGAUAUUAUAUCACAAAAUCAUUAAAUUAUUGUUUCAGGUUUCAAAAAUAGUUUAUAUAUUACUCUCCAAGAAUCACUAAGUUAGCAAUUUACCAAAAAAAAAAAAACUUAAUACAAUUCCAUUGCAGUUAAUUUUCUAUAUAUACUACUUAAUUACUUGUAGUUAUUUUUCCAGGACCUUUGCUACGAGGUGUGCUAGCACCAACCCCAUUUGCCUCAUUUCUCUUUUUACCUUUUUCGACAAUUGAUUUGGUCGUAGAAAUCUUCUCCUUUUUCAUAGCAUCAGUUGCAUUUAGUAGCUUUGAAUUCCCUCCAUCAAGAUCAUUGUUACAAAGAUCUCAGUUUAAACUUUUAAUUAGUUAAAGAAAUUUAAUUGCAGUUUUUAUUUUUCAAAAUAGAGAACUUACUGGGAAUUUUGGUUUUAGGACCAUUGUUACAAGAUGGUCUGGUAGCGACACCAUUUGCCUCCUUUCUUGUAUUACCUUGUUGGACAGUCAAUCUAGAAGAAGUCGUCUUCUCCUUUUUUGUUGUAUUUCUUGCUUCAAGUACCUUCGAAUUACCUCCGACUGACCAUUUUUACAAGAUGUCAAAUAAAACUACUUAAAUAUAAUUCAAGGGAAGUUAUCUUUCAAAACAUAGCACAACUUACCGGCAGCUGUUUUUCUUAUAAGAUGAUUGUUCCUAGGUUUGCUGGUCCCAACGCGAUUUGCCUGGUCCCCUUUGCUUCCUUGUUGGAGAUGAGGUGAUUGAAUUGCUGAAGUCUUUUCAUUGCUCGUUCCAUUACUUGCGUCUAGUAGGUUUGAAUUGCCUCCAAUAAGACCAACGGGCACACAAAGUUAAUUUGAAGUGAUCAAAUGAAUAGAAUCGAUCAAAUUCUAGUUUUUUUUUCGAAGCACUUCACUUACUGGGAGUUGUUUGAAGUGUCUUUGUUACAACACCACUGGCCUCACUCCUUUCGCUGUCUUGUUGGACGGUUGAUUGUGUGGAAGAUGUCCUCUCCUCUGUGAUUGCUUCACUUGCAUUUGGAAGCUUUGAAUUCCCUCCAACAUGACUGAUCCUGUCACAAGACCUGGUGUGGUGUCCAGCUUUAUGGCACUUCCCACACUUCAAAGAUCCAUAGAAAGUGAAGUUAAAUUCUGAAAACUAUGCUGGCUAUGAUUUUUAUUUGAGAGUUCGUAUAUGUACAUAUAAUGUUAUAAAAAAUAUCAAAUAGGGAAGCCCGAGCGGGUACACGAGACAUACCAUGACAAGAUGUUUCUGGUUAUAAGCACGAGUUUUGAUCUUCUCUAGUGUCUCGGCAACUUCUUUCAUUGAUGGACGGAAUUUGGGGUUACGAACGAGACAUCUCAGAGCAAGCUUUGCUAUUUCUGAAGCCUGCCCAGUAACAUACUUCCCCUCCAACCUGGAGUCCAUUACGCCUCUCAGCCUGAAUCUAUUAUUUAGAUAUUUCUCGGCCCAUUCCCCUAAGGAAGAUUAACCACUUUUUUUGUUGAUCUUGAACCAGUUAGCAGCUCAACCAAAACAACACCAAAUCCAUAAACAUCGCUCUUUACAUGCAACUUCCCUAACCAAACCAACUCGAUAAAAUCAAUGUCAUGACAAAGCUUAGCAGUUAGCAGAAGUUAAUAAUUAACAAGUUAAGAAGAUCGAGAUGAGUUGGAAACUACAGGAGCUUUGCCCAGAACAAAAUCCAACCAUAUAAAUAUCAUUAAUUAAAUUCUAUGCAUUAAUUGGCAGUUUCAUUGUUAAUGCUUGUUUUGUUCUGUAUUCUCUUCGUAUAAUUGUACUGAUUACUGAAUUUCGCUCGGUGCGUUUGCCCCGUGGUUGCUUUUUUUUUUUUAAUCUAAAACAAAAAAAAAAAUCUUACAAGUAUGCAAGGUACAAGAAAUUACCAGUUUCAGCAUAAAGAGGAUCCGCAUAACCAUAUGUGCCAACAACUCUAUCUUCUAUAUAUUCAUCAUGAUCUCUCAAGGGUGCAGGUGAUGUGAUUGCCAUUCCAAAGUCUGAUAUCUUCGCAGUAUAGGACUAGAGAAACAUCGUGGUUAGGUAGCGUAGAUUUCCAUUUUGGAAAGAUAAUGCAACAGUUUCUUUUCAAUUGCUGAGUCGUGAAUAAUUGUACCAAUAACGUGAUGCUUGCAACAUUAACAGUUCUUCAGAUUGCCAAAAUUGCUAGAAAAGUCAUGAUGCAUCAGGGGAAAUAAAUGACUCAACCAUGAAAACUACGUAAAGGAGGAAAACAAAAGCAAGACAAUAGCAGAAAUAUAGAUGCAGAGAGAUAUGAUAAAUGUACACAGAG